rnacentral:rRNA from 1 species
CCCUUAGAUGUUCGGGGCUGCACAUGCGCUGCACUGAAGGAAUCAACGUGUAUUUGCCCUUGCCCGAAAGGGUUGGGUAACCCGUUGAACCUCCUUCGUGCUAGGGAUUGGGGCUUGUAAUUAUUCCCCAUGAACGAGGAAUUCCCAGUAAGCGCGAGUCAUAAGCUCGCGUUGAUUACGUCCCUGCCCUUUGUACGCACCGCCCGUCGCUACUACCGAUUGAAUGGUUUAGUGAGAUCCUCGGAUUGGUCCCGCCACGGGAGGAAACUUUCGAGGCGGAGUGCCGAGAAGACGAUCAAACUUGAUCAUUUAGAGGAAGUAAAAGUCGUAACA